AGUGUGGGGCUCCGGGAGGGUUGAAGGCAAACUUGAUUUACUGUCCAGCAAGCUGUUGCUUCAGAAUCUGAAUCAGAAUAAGCUUUAUUGACCAAAUUUGUGCAUGCCAAACAGGGAAUUUGACUCCGGUUGAUCUCAGCCUCUGUACGACAUUUGAGUGACAACAUUCAGGCCACUAACAACAUUUAAGUGGCAAGAUCAGGAUCUUAUUGCACAGUGAUGUCUCUGAGUCUCUAUGAGUGGUGUGAAUUCAUCAGAGCGACAGCCUGGGGGAAGAAGCUGUGUCUGUGUCUGCUGGUUUUGGCGUACACCGAUCUGAAACGCCAUCCGGAGGGGAGUAGUUUGAACAGACUGUGACCUGGGUGAGAAGGGUCUGCAGAGAUGUUACUUGCACGCUUCCUGGUCCUGGACAGGUACAAGUCUUGGAUAUAUGGGAGGUUGCUCCCGAUUAUCAUUUCCGCUGACCUGAUUGUCCAUUGCAUUCUGUGCUUGUCUUGUUUGGUGGCCGAUCCAAACCAGAAAGUGAUGGAGGUGCAGGGGAUAGACUGGAUGAUAGCAGUGUAGAAGGUCUUCAGUAGCUCCGUUGGCAGGUUGAACUUCCUGAGCUGUCUCAGAAAGUACAACUUCAGCUGGGCCUUCUUCCAGACAGAGUCUAUGUGGCCGGUCAAUUUCAGAUCCCGGGAGAUUGUGAAUCCCAGGAACUUGAAGGUGUCUGUGGUGGGAAUAGCAUUACUGAGGAUGGUGAGGGGUGGAAGUGACGAAGGGUCUCUCCUGAAGUCCACUGUCAUCUCCACGGUCUUGAGCGGGUUCAGCUCCACGUGGUUUUGGCUGCACCAGUGGACCAGC